rnacentral:misc_RNA from 1 species
AGCACUUCCACCUGUGCUUUCA